AAAGUUGUUGCCGUUAAAAAGCUCGUAGUCGAACUUCGGUCCCUGUAAGCCGGUCCGCCUUCUUGGUGUGUACUUGCUCUGCGGGGACUUACCUCCUGGUGAACUGCCAUGUCCUUUACUGGGUGUGGUAGCAAACCAGGACGUUUACUUUGAAAAAAUUAGAGUGUUCAAAGCAGGCCUACGCCCGAAUACAUUAGCAUGGAAUAAUAGAAUAGGACGCGCGUUCCCAUUUUGUUGGUUUCUGAGAUCGCCGUAAUGAUUAAUAGGGAUAGUUGGGGGCAUUUGUAUUCCGUCGUCAGAGGUGAAAUUCUUGGAUUGCCGGAAGACAAACUACUGCGAAAGCAUUUGCCAAGGAUGUUUUCAUUGAUCAAGAACGAAGGAAGGGGGAUCGAAAACGAUCAGAUACCGUUGUAGUCUCUUCUGUAAACUAUGCCAAUUGGGGAUUAGCUCAGGAUUUUUAAUGACUGAGUUAGCACCCGAAGAGAAAUCUUUAAAUGAGGUUCGG
rnacentral:rRNA from 1 species